rnacentral:rRNA from 1 species
UACGUAGGGUGCGAGCGUUGUCCGGAAUUAUUGGGCGUAAAGGGCGCGUAGGCGGCCUUGCAAGUCGGUUGGUGAAAGCCCGGGGCUCAACCCCGGAGGUGCGGCCGAGACUGCAGGGCUGGAGGCCGGAAGAGGAGGGUGGAAUACCCAGUGUAGAGGUGAAAUUCGUAGAUAUUGGGUGGAACACCGGUGGCGAAAGCGGCUCUCUGGUCCGGACCUGACGCUGAGGCGCGAAAGCGUGGGGAGCAAACAGG